CUGGUCUCCGAAUGGAGGCGUGGGUUCAAAUCCCACUCCUGACAAAAUUUUUACCCUCAUCGUUCAUCUCUGCUGUUUGACACUGGAGGAAGGACACACCUUUAUUUCCUUGUGAGGGAGGCGGGCAGUUUCCACUUCAAAGCUGGACAGCGCUCUGUCUUCUUUGUUUCACUCCACUCUCGCUUUCUUCGCGUCUCAAACUUUCUCUCUCUGCUCCUCAGCGCGUAAAAACUUUGGGUAGCUCCCUUCCCACACCUUCCCUCCUCCUCUUCCUCCUUCUCCUCAUUUUUCCCUGCGUGCGUAAUUAGAUGGAGCGCGUUUGGAAACUUGUGAUGGCCCUGAAGAAGUCUCACUUUUAUUUCUGACACCUGUUGCUGAGUACGCCGCUCGUACACACACACAGCGGGCGGGACGUGCGCCAUUCAUUCCUCUGUUUUUUUACAUGACAACUUGGGACUUCCGUGCGCUGACAGGUCCACGGAUCGCCGGAGGCUGCGUUUUACCUCUGUUCAGUCCCAUAAACCGACCUUUUUGUGCGUGUUUGUGACUCAGACAAAGACUUUGGUGUCAUCGGGGAGUAAAGGGAAGCAGAAGUGACACUUGGAAAAGUUUGUACGUGCGCUCUGCUGUGGGAUCUUCCUGCAGGGGGGCUCUCCUUUCAUGACAAAGACACCGGUUUGCGUGUAGUUUCGAAGCCGGACAAGGAGUCACACUUAUCGGCGUGGAGCCUUUCGGAUGGUCGGGAGGAGAAAAGUUUUUGUGGAGAGCUGACGGUGCAGCAGAACCGGAGAAGACAGGAAGAAGAAAAGGAGUUCACACCAUCUGUCAACCACAGUAGACACAAGUAAGGAUAUUUUUAUAAAAAAUAUAUAUAUAUAUAUAUAUAUAUAUAUAUAUAUAUAUAUAUAUAUAUAUAUAUAUAUAUAUAUAUAUAUAUAUAUAUAUAU
ensembl:lncRNA